rnacentral:rRNA from 1 species
CCCUUAGAUGUUCUGGGCUGCACGCGUGUUACAAUCGGGAGUACAACAAGAUUGCAAAUCCUAGUGGAUGAGUGGUUCUUCGAAAUUUUCUGAAGACUGGGAUAGUUGAUUGAAAUUAUUCAACUCGAACGAGGAAUUCCUUGUAAUUGUAAUUCAUUAUAUUGUAAUGAAUACGUCCCUGCCCUUUGUACACACCGCCCGUCGCUCCUACCGAUUGAACGAUCCGGUGAAUUAUUUGGAGUAGCUCUGGAAGUUGCAGAACUUCCUAUGUUACGAAAUUUUGUAAACCUUAUCGUUUAGAGGAAGGAAAAGUCGUAACA